CCCCCCUCCGUUCCACUUCUCUUCGCUGCCGGCGGUGCCCGCGUCGCCGCCGCCAGCCCCGCAUCCCUCGGCGGAGGCAGGGCCCGGCGCUGCCCCAGCCCCUUCCCCGCGGGUCUCCUACCUGUUCGGAAGAAAGCAUCCACCUCGGAGUCGGGGACAGCGCCUUCCUCCGCCGCCCCUUCGGCGGGAUUCAUGGCUGGGGGAGAAGCAGCGACGAGCCCGGCGGCUGGUAAUAUCCAUUCUAGAUGACUAGGGAGCCAAAAAAAAGGAGUUUGAAAAGCCAGGAUCCUGGUCCCAGCUCAGACAUCGAUCCAACUAGGUGUUUGUCUUUGCUACCUGUACCAUGAGAAAGAAAAAGCAACUGUUGGAAGAAUCACCCCUCUGGCUGUAUUACCUUUGGAUAACCCAUCCUUGAUGCAAAAUCAUAUCUCCCACUCACAAGAACAAGAGUCUUUUAGCCAGCAUGUCCCAGUGCCCUCAGUGUCAUUAUCCUGUAGGGGUAACGUCCAAUCACCACUGUUUUGCCACUGAAAAACUCUGCUGUUCAAGGGACUCUAUAGGUGCACAGGGGGAACUCAGCUGUAGAUCUGGAUAAAGCAUCUCCAGGAACCUGGUCAGCACCCACUUGAACAGUUUAAAAGAGCUAAGUAUCAGUCUUGUGCAUCUCAAGAAAGAAAAUACUCCGAAUAGCAGAAAUCUCAGAGCCAACUGGUUGUGACACUGGAUCAGAUCUCAGUCUAUCAGGUAGGUUAGUAGCUGAGCCUGGCAGAACCUUUUCUGUUUAAGCCAGAAUAUUUUAGACAACAGAAGAACAUGGGUUUCCUCCAUCUGAUCUUUUUUCAAAAGAGUGUAGAGGAAGACUGGAUUUGGAUAUAUGUUCACUGACUACAUAUAUUGCACUUGAUAAAAGGGCUGAAGCUUUCUUUGCAGAAACUUAACUGUCGAAAUAGCACUGACCAGGCAGGCUGAGCACAGAGAUGUCAGUCACCUUUUCUCUGACUUUCCCGUUUACUACCGGAAUUGAAACAGAACUGAGAAUUAAAUCAUAUGUCAUGUCUGAAGACUGUGGAACCCAGAGCAAACAACCUAUAGAGAUCUAUCCAGAAUUUAGUUUCCCUUUGGUUGCCUUGUUCCCCUCCAUUCUGAUCAACUGCCCACUUCCCAAGCCUAACACCAGCUGCUUUUAACUGAAGCUACUUACCUUUUUAUGCUUAUGGAUUAAAAGGGUCAUUUCACAACUACCUGCAAACAUCAUCAACACAAAAGCUAUGUCAAGGCUGCCAAAGCUCAUUGCAGACCUGUGCACUGCCUCUGAGCUCACCUCUUCAGCACAACCAGGAUGCCAGGACUACCACUGCACCAAGAACACCUGCAGCAGGAUGUUACCAUGGCACAAGCACCUGAAUACAAUCAGUCUUUUGAGCACCAGUCUUUCUUCAGUGACCUUUCACCCCUUCUUCCACAUCACACCACUAUGCAAAAAAGCCUUCGGUCUUCCAGGCUCAAGCAAGCUGCAUCAUCUUAAAUCCCAUCUCAAGAUCUCUGAAUAUUUACUACCCACAGCCUAGAUUCCGUGCUUAACCCUCAUUGUCCCCCAGACUUUUACAGAGAGAUUGAAUUGUGAGUGUGGGCUAAAACCCUGGUAGCUGGGAAGAAUGUGGCUUCCUUGUGAAGUACUUUGAAUCCACUCGGGAUUUGGUACAAUCUAGUGGUGUUUAGAGUCAAAACAUUCCUCCUGCAGGAGCAUCCUUAGAAGCUAGACAGGAGUUACCCAUAAGCAGAGAAGGUUUAGCAUCAUCCAAAGGGAAAUAAUGUUGUCAAAUACAGACAAAUUUAUAUUCCCUUGUCAUUAUGAACCCUGCAGGUGUGGCCUACAGCAUCAGUUGUAGAAAUCAUAUAGGCUACAGAAGGCAUCUUUGUCUGUAUAACCUCCAGUCAAACACAUCGGAAAAUGCUGAGGGAGGCACAGCAGUUCGUUUAACUGACCUGCCAUUCUGACACCUACAUGGAUGCUUGGUUAAUGAUUAAACCAGUUAAGGAACUUAUAUUUAACUGUAUAAAACACUGUUAUCUUCUGAAAACAAACUAUUUUUUUCUUCAAAGAACAAUUUCAUUGGAAUAAGAAUGGUUCCAGGUCUCUCAUACUUUGAAAAAAAUGGGAUUUUCCACUUUUUAAAGAAUAAAGUUGUUUGUUUU